UACAGAGGUCUCAAGCGUUGUUCGGAUUCAUUGGGCGUAAAGGGUGCGUAGGCGGCGCGGUAAGUCGGGUGUGAAAUUUCGAGGCUUAACUUCGAAACUGCAUUCGAUACUGCCGUGCUAGAGGACUGGAGAGGAGACUGGAAUUUACGGUGUAGCGGUGAAAUGCGUAGAUAUCUGGAGGAACACCGGUGGCGAAGGCGGCAUCCUGGACCGGCAUUGACGCUGAGGCGCGAAAGCCAGGGGAGCAAACGGG
rnacentral:rRNA from 1 species